rnacentral:rRNA from 1 species
GACGAACGCUGGCGGCGUGCUUAACACAUGCAAGUCGAGCGGAAAGGCCCUUUCGGGGGUACUCGAGCGGCGAACGGGUGAGUAACACGUGAGUAAUCUGCCCUGCGCUCUGGGAUAGCCACCGGAAACGGUGAUUAAUACCGGAUAGGACCACUUCACGCAUGUGAUGGUGGUGGAAAGUUUUUUCGGCGCAGGAUGUGCUCGCGGCCUAUCAGCUUGUUGGUGAGGUAACGGCUCACCAAGGCUUUGACGGGUAACCGGCCUGAGAGGGUGACCGGUCACACUGGGACUGAGACACGGCCCAGACUCCUACGGGAGGCAGCAGUGGGGAAUAUUGGACAAUGGGCGGAAGCCUGAUCCAGCAACGCCGCGUGAGGGAUGACGGCCUUCGGGUUGUAAACCUCUUUCAGUACCGACGAAGCGAAAGUGACGGUAGGUACAGAAGAAGGACCGGCCAACUACGUGCCAGCAGCCGCGGUAAUACGUAGGGUCCGAGCGUUGUCCGGAAUUAUUGGGCGUAAAGGGCUCGUAGGCGGUUUGUCGCGUCGGGAGUGAAAACACCGGGCUUAACUCGGUGCUUGCUUUCGAUACGGGCAGACUAGAGGUAUGCAGGGGAGAAUGGAAUUCCUGGUGUAGCGGUGAAAUGCGCAGAUAUCAGGAGGAACACCGGUGGCGAAGG